UGGAGUGCAGUGGCACAAUCUUGGUUCGCUGCAACCUUCGCCUCUUGGGUUCACGCAAUUCUCGUGCUUCAGCCUCCCUAGUAGCUGGGACUACAGGUGUGCACCACCACGCCUGGCUAUUUUUUGUAUUUUUAGUAGAGAUGGGGUUUCACCAUGUUGGCCAGGCUGGUCUUGAACUCCUGGCCUCAGGUGAUCCACCCACCUCGGUCUCCCAAAGUGCUAGGAUUACAGACGUGAACCACUGCACCCAGCCAAAUAAUUCAAACUUAAAGCUGUUGGAACUUAAAUUGUUCUGAGUCUUGAGAGGAAUGUGACUAUGCAGCCUGAGUCACAUGGCAUGCAGCUGCAACUUCUGCCUUUUUUCCACCUAUAAAUAAUUGAGACUAAGUGGUGCCAGAGAUAAAACCCCCUCAGAUCACUGCCCCUUCUACAGAGUAAUAAUGUCAUCUUCCUUGGGAUGCAGCAAUCUGUAACCAAUCAAAUCACUGUAACAUAUGCACUGUCUUGUAUGGAAAAUGUUAUAAUCCUGCUAAAAUUUUUCUGUCUGUCUCUGUAUAAGUAAAACCUUAACUUCUUCACUUUGGAACGCUGAACCCAUUCGUUUGGAGUUGAGGUCUCCUGGGUGGCUAUCCGCACACUCAAAUAAACU
rnacentral:lncRNA from 1 species